CGGAGCUCCCCGGAGGUCUGCCCGUUGGAGGCGGCGCCGUUCGAGCCACCCUGCAGCGAUGUGGAGACUCCGACCAGCUGGGUGAGGAGUAAGCCUGUCUAUAAAGCAAGCGAUCAUAAUUACAGCCCCUAAAGAGAAGAAUGUGAGUAGAAGAUUGGAAACAAAGUUCUGGUGCUCUCCAGCACAUCUCAGGAUCCUUUGGCAUGUUGCAUGGUCUGUGGAGGUUCCCACUGGAUACCCAACCUGCCAUCAACCCAGUUUAAUGCAAACUGUGGUGCCCUUGGAAUAUGACGUGAAUGGCAUCCCCUGGAGAUGAACAGAACACAUUCCACAUGACCACACGUGGGAGCCCUGAUUACAGAUGAGAAACUAAGACUCAGAGCCCAUCUGUGAGCACAUGACAGAGCCUCCAAAUUGUUCCCAGACACCUAACCUCGUCUGUGGCACUGAUGGGGUCACAUACAACAGU